rnacentral:rRNA from 1 species
GAUGAACGCUGGCAGCGUGCCUAAUACAUGCAAGUCGAACGAGGUGCUUUUGUAGCAAUACGAGAGUAUCCUAGUGGCGAACGGGUGAGUAACGCGUUGGUGACCUACCCCAAAGUGUGGGAUAACAGUCCGAAAGGAUUGCUAAUACCGCAUGUGGUCAUUGGAUUUAUAAACUGAUGACUAAAGGAGCAAUUCGCUUUGGGAGGGACCUGCGUCCCAUCAGCUAGUUGGUGAGGUAAUGGCUUACCAAGGCGAAGACGGGUAGGGGACCUGAGAGGGUGGCCCACCAGAAUGGAACUGAAACACGGUCCAUAAACCUACGGGUGGCAGCAGUAGGGAAUAUUGCUCAAUGGGCGAAAGCCUGAAGCAGCAACGCCGCGUGUGUGAUGAAGGCCUUCGGGUCGUAAAGCACUUUUCUGGGAGAUGAGAAAGGACAGUAUCCCAGGAAUAAGUCUCGGCUAACUACGUGCCAGCCGCCGCCGUAACAC